rnacentral:rRNA from 1 species
UUGCGCCUACGGGGGGCAGCAGUGGGGAAUAUUGCACAAUGGGGGAAACCCUGAUGCAGCGACGCCGCGUGAGCGAAGAAGUAUCUCGGUAUGUAAAGCUCUAUCAGCAGGGAAGAAAAUGACGGUACCUGACUAAGAAGCUCCGGCUAACUACGUGCCAGCAGCCGCGGCAAUACGUAGGGGGCAAGCGUUAUCCGGAUUUAAUGGGUGUAAAGGGAGCGCAGGCGGCGCGGUAAGUCUGAUGUGAAAGCCCGGGGCUCAACCCCGGGACUGCAUUGGAAACUGUCGUGCUGGAGAGACGGAGG